rnacentral:rRNA from 1 species
GUAACUUCGGGAGAAGGGGUGCUGGUGUAAAAGCCAGCCGCAGUGAAUAGGCCCAAGCAACUGUUUAUCAAAAACACAGCUCUCUGCUAAACCGCAAGGUGAUGUAUAGGGGGUGACGCCUGCCCGGUGCUGGAAGGUUAAGAGGAGUGCUUAGACGUAAGUCGAAGGUAUGAAUUGAAGCCCCAGUAAACGGCGGCCGUAACUAUAACGGUCCUAAGGUAGCGAAAUUCCUUGUCGGGUAAGUUCCGACCCGCACGAAAGGCGUAAUGAUUUGGGCACUGUCUCAACGAGAGACUCGGUGAAAUUUUAGUACCUGUGAAGAUGCAGGUUACCCGCGACAGGACGGAAAGACCCCAUGGAGCUUUACUGUAGUUUGAUAUUGAGUACCUGUAAGUCAUGUACAGGAUAGGUAGGAGCCAUUGAAAUAGGGACGCUAGUUUCUAUUGAGGCGUUGUUGGGAUACUACCCUUGACUUAUGGUUACUCUAACCCGCUGGCAUAAUCGGCCAGGGAGACAGUGUCUGACGGACAGUUUGACUGGGGCGGUCGCCUCCUAAAGAGUAACGGAGGCGCUCAAAGGUUGGCU